GGGCAGCCUGAUGCAGCACGCCGCGUGCGGGAAGACAGCCCUAGGGUUGUAAACCGCUUUCAGUAGGGAAGAAACUGACGGUACCUACAGAAGAAGGUGCGGCCAACUACUUGCCACCAGCCGCGGUGACACGUAGGCACCAAGCGUUAUCCGGAUUUAUUGGGCGUAAAGAGCUCGUUAGUGCGGUAUUAGUAAGUCUGGUGUGAAAACUCUGGGCUUAACCCGCACACGCCACUCAAUACUGCCUAUGACUUGAUGCUACGGGAGGGGAGCGGGGAACUCCUGGAUGUAUGUCGAGCUGCAACAUAGCUUCACGUAUAUCAGCGCAUAGCAACGACUCGUGUGAGCGAAGAGCUGACCUCUCUGAGGCCGUAUAUCGUGACGCUGAUGAGCGAAAGCGUGCUGGCAAACAGGAUUAGAUACCCUGGUAGGCCACGCCGUAAACUGUUGGUCACUACGGUGUGGCGUUUUCUACUAACAGAUUAAAACUCUGAUGAAUUCACGGAA
rnacentral:rRNA from 1 species